rnacentral:lncRNA from 1 species
UUCGUGAAGACUGGAUUUCCUCAGUGACUUACAGUGGAAACAGAGACAGGAGGUCAUGAAAAUUAGUUGCUAGCCUCCCACUAGCCUGAGAGGAGUGGGCUAUACUCCAGGGCAUUGGACAAAUAACUGAACAUCACUUAACCAUUUCAAACUAAGGCAAAAUGCACUGGAACGCCUGCCCGAUUCCGCACUUCACACCCCUUCCUCUGGAGUAUCUUCAGGAUUCCAGCCUGAGUCCCUGACCUCUGAGCCUCACCCACAGAACACUCUCCUCAGAGGUCCCCUAGGACAAAGGCCAUGCCACCUUCCGGUUGCGGUGACUGGGGGACGCUGCUUGGUUUCCUGGCAACUACUGCUCUGUUUUUUACCUGUGGCUCCAGAGGAAGUCAGAAACCUGUCCAGCCCAGAUCUCCGUGAACGCCUCUGCUGCAGCUCACCUAACCCGGCCAGGGACCAGGAGCCCAUGGAAAGCAAUGAUGAGUACUGAGGAAAGAUGUAGGGAUGAGGAUUCCUCUGCUGUCUAUUUAGAGGUGAAGAAAGAACAGCCCACAGCAGCCUCAGCUGAGCAGCAGUAAAAGGAACCUGUAGUUGGAGCUCUUCUUAAGAAGUCUGAAAAUCAGGAGUUCCCAUCGUGGCACGCGGAAACAAAUCCGACUAGGAACCAUGAGGUUGAGGGUUCAAUCCCUGGCCUUGCUCAGGGGGUUGGGGAUCCGGCGUUGCUGUGAGCUGUGGUGUAGGUCACAGACAUGGCUUGGAUCUGGCAUUGCUGUGGCUGUGGGGUAGGCUGACAGUUGUAGCUCCGAUUAGACCUCUAGCCUGGGACCCUGCAUAUGCUGCAGGUGCGGCCCUAAAAAGACAAAAAAAAAAAAAGUCUGAAAAUCAGAUAAUAACAGAUCUUCAGACUUGGUAAUGGUAUUUAUUCUGGAGCUGAAUCUCAGCUUCUGCUUUCAAAUGGUGCAUGUGCUCCCCAAUUAACCACAGUAUCUGCCGCUUGGUAUUGUUUCCUUGAAUCUGAGCCAAGUGACAGCUGCCAUUUAGUCCCUCAAACAUCCAAUUAUUUACUCACAAUAGACUUAAGAAAAGAGUGCCUCUUUUACCCAUGUCUCUGGCAAAAGUAGGAAAAUAAAAGACAGAAAAAGAAGAGUCUGUGGUUUCAAGAAGAGAUCAUUUCCUUGUAAAAGUAAAAAGUAUUCGUAUAUAUAUGCAAAUAAAGUGUGUCUUUGUUGAUUAAAUACAAAUAAAGAUACCAUUAUAAAACAUAUUAUAGCAAGAAUUAUGAUAGGCUAGAGGAAGAUGCAUGUUGAAGAAAUUAAUGAACUAAAAAAAUAAAGAACUGAACU